rnacentral:rRNA from 1 species
GGGUGAGUCGGCCCCUAAGGCGAGGCAGAAAUGCGUAGUCGAUGGGAAACAGGUUAAUAUUCCUGUACUCGUGCAUAUUGCGAUGGAGAGACGGAGAAGGCUAGGCCAGCACAGCGAUGGUUGUCUGUGUUUAAGGCGGUAGGUUUAGGGCUUAGGCAAAUCCGGGCCCUUUUAAGACCGAGAACUGAUGACGAGCCCUCUUUUGGACGAAGUGGUUGAUGCCAUGCUUCCAGGAAAAACUUCUAAGCUUCAGAUAUGCAGGAACCGUACCCCAAACCGACACAGGUGGUCAGGUAGAGAAUACCAAGGCGCUUGAGAGAACUCGGGUGAAGGAACUAGGCAAAACGGUACCGUAACUUCGGGAGAAGGUACGCCGGCCGGUGUGAAGGACUUGCUCCGUAAGCACUAGUCGGUCGAAGAUACCAGGUGGCUGCGACUGUUUAUUAAAAACACAGCACUCUGCAAACACGAAAGUGGACGUAUAGGGUGUGACGCCUGCCCGGUGCUUGAAGGUUAAUUGAUGGGGUUAGCGCAAGCGAAGCUCUUGAUCGAAGCCCAAGUAAACGGCGGCCGUAACUAUAACGGUCCUAAGGUAGCGAAAUUCCUUGUCGGGUAAGUUCCGACCUGCACGAAUGGCGUAACGAUGGCCACACUGUCUCCACCCGAGACUCAGUGAAAUUGAAAUCGCAGUGAAGAUGCUGUGUAUCCGCGGCUAGACGGAAAGACCCCGUGAACCUUUACUAUAGCUUCACAGUGAACUUUGAACCUACUUGUGUAGGAUAGGUGGGAGGCUUUGAAGCGGUGACGCCAGUUACCGUGGAGCCACUCUUGAAAUACCACCCUGGUAUGUUUGAGGUUCUAACUCAGGUCCGUAAUCCGGAUCGAGGACACUGUGUGGUGGGUAGUUUGACUGGGGCGGUCUCCUCCCAAAGAGUAACGGAGGAGCACGAAGGUGUGCUCAGCAUGGUCGGAAAUCAUGCAUAGAGUGUAAAGGCAAAAGCACGCUUAACUGCGAGACAGACACGUCGAGCAGGUACGAAAGUAGGUCUUAGUGAUCCGGUGGUUCUGUAUGGAAGGGCCAUCGCUCAACGGAUAAAAGGUACUCCGGGGAUAACAGGCUGAUACCGCCCAAGAGUUCACAUCGACGGCGGUGUUUGGCACCUCGAUGUCGGCUCAUCACAUCCUGGGGCUGAAGCCGGUCCCAAGGGUAUGGCUGUUCGCCAUUUAAAGUGGUACGCGAGCUGGGUUUAGAACGUCGUGAGACAGUUCGGUCCCUAUCUGCCGUGGACGUUUGAGAUUUGAGAGGAGCUGCUCCUAGUACGAGAGGACCGGAGUGGACGAACCUCUGGUGUUCCGGUUGUCACGCCAGUGGCAUUGCCGGGUAGCUAUGUUCGGACGGGAUAACCGCU